AUGACGAUUAAACUCAUGGUUCUUGCCUUGUACUGUAAAGGUUCCUUGGCUGAGAUCACCAGAGAGCUCCGUGUCUUAGUGGGCAAUAAGGUAACGCUCAGCUGCAUGUUCGACACGCCGCAUAAGCUAGUGGAGUGGAGUGCUCUUAGUAUUGAAUGGAACAUGGUGGACAAACACGCAAAGAAGAGCAUGGUGUACACGCUGGAAGAUGGAAGAGCUCAUGUGUACAAAGAAGGCUCUGUGGUGAAUGAAACGCGCCUGCGUCAGAGUGAUGCGUCGCUGCAGCUUCAUAAUGUCACUGUAGGAGAUGAAGGGCUGUACACCUGCAGAGUCAUCAACCCUCUGAUCUACACAGAGUCCACUGCUCUGAAAGUGCUCGUUCUGAACCGUACACCUUCAGCUCUGCCUUCAGUGUUGCUCCCAGAAAAGGCAACAGUGAGAGAAGGACAGGAGAAAACCAUACAGUGUGAUGUAACAGGUUUCUACCCAGAGAAAGUGGCUGUGACGUGGCUGAUCCAAAAUGGCACCCAGACCAUCCAUGCAGGCUUGGGCCAACUGUCCCGUGUCUGCAAUGAGCUGGCUGUACACAAUCCAGAUGGCACCUACAGCAUUCGUAGUGGCAUCACGCUGCACUCCUCAGUUCUACGGGGUGGAGAAAUACAUGUCAUCUGCCAAGUUGAGCACCAGACCUACAAUGGUCUGUACAACCGAUCUUCAGAUGGCAAAAAUCACACAUCUCUCCUGCCUGUAUUUCUGACUGUUACUGAAGACCAAACCAAAUACCAGUGUGUAGUGUGGUGCAAGGACAGGAGCUUCAGAAGGGAGACCACAGUCAAGGUUAAAGUAGAACCAUCUUUUCUUAAGAUCUCCAGCAUUCCUCAGAUCCCAAAGGUGGAGAGGCUGCUGGUUCUCUGCUGUCGCGUGGAGAACUUUUACCCCCAGGACAUCGACCUGGAAUGGUACAGGAAUGAUGGGGAGAAGGUCCACCUCGUCACUCACUUUGGCCCCUUCUCUGACCAGACCCGCCUCUACAAUGUGUGGAGUAAGAUCGAGCUCAUCAUGGCCAUAGAGGAUGAGAGGGCCAUGUACACUUGCCGUGUUUACCACUCCAGCUUCCAAGCUCCGGGGUACAAGGAUGUCUUUUACCACAUCAACACUCAAGGAACCCCUCCUGAUGUGAUGUUCAUCAACCACGAACCUCAGUGUCCUAAAGUGAAUGAAGAGUGUACUUUGCACCUGCACAUAAAAGACUUUUGUCCUGAGGAGGUGUUGGUGACAUGGACUAAAGAUGGAGACAAGGUUGUCUCUGGUGUCUUUAAUACCCCCCCCAGCCUGAACGUCAAUGGCCUGUACUCCAUGUUCAGUUUCCUCAAACUCAAUCCCACCAAGAAUUACCAAGGCUGCACAUUCAAAUGCCAGGUGGUUCAUAGUGCUCAGAAGGAGCCUGAGGAAAGGAUCUUCAUAUUUCCAAAACUCUGCCUGACAGACAGCUGUUGAUGUCUAAACCUACUUUGGAUCGUUUCACAUCUGGGGAGUAAAUAAAUUUAGUUUUAAUUCUGCAGUUCUGCUGACGACAAAACUGUAAAACAGAAAACAAAAAAAAUUGAAAUGCUUUAGUUUGAUAUCUGCAAAUUGUAUCCUGCCUGAAUAUCAGUUUAGGUUAAACAGGCUGGGUUAUCCACAUUUAAGACUGCUAUAAACCUUUUCUGACAAUCUUAA